UAUUUCAAAUUACAAAACAAUUAAUAACAAAGUAGAUAAAUUCAAAGUAAUUUGCAUUUAUGCAUAUAUAUAUUUAAAACUUAUUCGAGAUAUAUACCGUUUUCUACGCAUUAUGCUUUUUACACACAACACUCACACACAUUAUUAGCAUUCUGUCGAUUUGUAAAAUAUAUAGAAAAAUUGGAGGACUUAAUUUUAUUAGUAGUUGAAGAGAACGUGGUGAUAAUUACACAGUUAAUUUGUUUAGCCGCGAAUCAUGGUAAAAAAUCGCGUGAAAUUGCAAAAAUGUCAACGACCAGUGUUGUUUCGUUUAUCUUUUUUCAUGCGAUAUCAGCGCAUGUCGACAAUAUGCUCAUGCAGAUGCACAAUUACAUCACGAUAAUCUUUGUAAACCGACAAUUACAUGAAUAAUGUGAAUAGACAUUGAGAAUGAACAUUUCAUCCGCUUUCAUCGGUUUGUUUAUUGAGUUUGUUAAGUUUAGGAUAAUGGAAAAAUCAGAUGAAGAAGUCUUGUUUAACGGAUGUAAUAAAAUUUUUUUUCUAACCUAGAGAAAUAAAAAAAUUAAUGUUUAAUAGUUUAAAGGUAUUAUAAAUAUCAAGAAUAUCUGAUGUUGCACAUUUUUCAAUCGAUUGUUCUUUAAUAAUAAUGACAUACAAAAGAAAGAGCAAAGAAUUUUCCAUAAUCGCAUAAAAGGAAAUGAUGCAUUCAUCGACUUAGAAUAUAUCCAAUAGCAAAAGAAGAAUUCCCAAUUUCAUCAGGUUUGUAUUAUAUUCUUCUAUCACUCUUCUUUUUCAUCUUUCAAUCGCGUAACGUUACUGCAAAGGUCGCACAGCUACAUCUACAGAUAUCUAAGAGGUAACGAGGAGUCAUUCUGACGCAAUAGGGAGACAACGCGAGUCACGAUCGGUCAAGAGAGUUUCCUAUUGAAAUACCGCUGAUGGACGAAAUUGCAUUUCCGCAACUAUCAUUUUUUUGAUCGUGAUACUUUGUCUCCAUCAAUAAGAAAAAUUAGCUAUAAGAUAUUUAUUCAUUCAUUCAAAAAUAUUGAAUGAAACAGGUGAGAAGAAUGUGAAAUGAAAGUCAAUAGAAGAUAAAAAAGUAUAUGGUGAUAAUUUUUUGUGAUUCUUCAUCAUUUUACCUUGACUAAGAGCUGUAGCUUUCUCUGUACAUUUUUAUUAUCCUUGCAAUAAUAGGAAGAAUUCUGUACUUGAACUAGAGAAAACAAAAUGUAUAUAUUUAAAAUUUUUUAUAUGUUUAUUAU